UAGGGAAUCUUCCGCAAUGGACGAAAGUCUGACGGAGCAACGCCGCGUGAGUGAAGAAGGAUUUCGGUUCGUAAAACUCUGGUGUUAGGGAAGAAAAAAUGUAUAGUAACUAUAUACAAAAGAGACGGUACCUAACCAGAAAGCCACGGCUAACUACGUGCCAGCAGCCGCGGUAAUACGUAGGUGGCAAGCGUUGUCCGGAAUUAUUGGGCGUAAAGCGCGCGCAGGUGGUUUAGAAAGUCUGAUGUGAAAGCCCACGGCUCAACCGUGGAGGGUCAUUGGAAACUAAUAAACUUGAGUGCAGGAGAGAAAAGUGGAAUUCCUAGUGUAGCGGUGAAAUGCGUAGAGAUUAGGAGGAACACCGGUGGCGAAAGCGGCUUUUUGGCCUGCAACUGACACUGAGGCGCGAAAGCGUGGGGAGCAAACAGG
rnacentral:rRNA from 1 species